UACAACACAUUCGGACCAAAUGCACCAGUCUUAAGACGCUAGACAAUGCUUAAGAAUUUAUGAUCAAUGGAAAAGAUUGCCUACCAAUGAUAGUAAGCAAGACUCAGAGGAUAUAUAUGAAAGAUGGAGAAUAAAAAUUGAACACUAGAGUUCAUUCAGGGAAGUGACUCUUAUUUAAUUAUGAAGUCACUAAUUGAAAUUUAAGAUGUGAAACCACCAUCAGCAUAGAAAGUCUGCCCAGUGAUAUAUGAUGCAGCUGGAAGACAAAGAAAAGCAACCAGUGGUGAUAUUUCGUUGGUUUCUCCUACUCGACCAAAAGGUAUUGUAGAUGUAACAAUAGCAUCCCACACUUUCGUUCCAGUUUUCUCCUGUAAGAAUUAUCAACAUAUGACCAAACAAAAACAUAAUGUUAACAUAUGCGUCAAAUUAGAAAUUACACACUUAAUACCAUUUUUACAUGAAACACAAAAUUAUUAUUUUUUUUGGGUGAAAGCAUUUAAUAGCAUUGUAUCAAACAAUUAGUGUUUGGUUUUUCUGUUUGGUGUUUUUCUUCUGCGACUUUCUUUUCCUUGUUUUACAGUUUUUAUAUAAUAAACUUUGUUCUGUUUUCUCUACUUUCCUAGUGCUAUGUUUGUCUUGGCUCUAGCUUGUUUGGGUGUGUUUGCAUACAUAUACCAGUAUUUCGUCUUACAUUAAAUAAGAAGAUAAAUAUAAAGAAGAAAAUUUAUAAAUACGUUAUUUUAAAUAUUUUAAAAUUUUAUAUAAUUUUGUUAGUAUUUAAAGGUUGUGAAAGGAGUAGUUGAUGAGGCAGAGAAAAUAUGGAGAUAGUAGAAUGUAGAAGUGGUAGUUGGAAGAAGUGUUGUAGUUGUCUUAGUUUUUGUAGAUGUUGGCUUCUUAUUUGGCUUGCAUACAAAUGAUCCAAUCACCCCUAUUUAUACUAGUGGCACCUCCUUAACCAAUGGUUAGGAUCUUGCCACCACAACAUUAAUCUAAGGGUCAUUAUUCAUCUUCUAGAGAUUUCUAAAACAUUCUUAUAAUUCUAAACUUAUCUAGAUAAAUCUAAUGGAUAAGCAUCCCUAGAUAUUUUUAUACAUCAUUCUAGAAUCUUUCUAGAUAGGAUAUUUCUAGAAUUCUAUUUUUGACCUUCUUUAGUUUUGGGCCUUCUCUAGUCUUGGGAUUUUAUCUGUUAGGCCCAAUUUACAUUCUAACUCUUUUUUCCUAGGAGNUUCUCCAUUCUUCUAGAAUUUGCAUUACACUUUAACAAAUUUCACUCGUUAUGAUAAGCAUGGAAUCCAACGUGAAUACAUCUGGAUUUAAUUUUAAUUGGGGAAGAAUAUAUUAUAUUCAUAUCUCAAACAUACCCUGACAGAUUCAAAGAGUGGAGUCCAAAUUGGUCCAGGUGCUACAGCAUUUGCACGAAUGUUAUCUUUUGCCCACUCCGAUGCUACGCUCCUGGUGAAUUGAUUCAUGGCUCCUGAAUUAAAUUAUAUAUUUCGUUCAGAUAAACAAGUUAGAUUCGCAAUAAUAUUAAUAUAUGAGGAAAAUUAGAAAAGAAAUUAGUAUGUAUACCUUUAGCGGCUGCAUAAGCAGAUAAACCUGGAAUAGCUUUUGCACCAGCAAUGGAUGAAAUGAAUACUAUGCUCCCACAUCCAGAUUGUUUAAGAAGUGGAUGUGCAAGUUGAGUCAAAUGAAAAACAGACUCAAAAUUGGUAGCCAUUAUAGUCGAUACAUCUUCAACAGUGUAAUCUACUAUGUUCUUUGUUAUUUCUAUCGCUGCAUUAUUCACCUAAGAGACAACCACAUACCAAAUCACCUUAAACAUAUUUAACUGUUUUGAAAUUGGAAAGAAUUAAUUUUAAUUAGCAUAAUUAUACUUUUAUGUAAAAAAACAUAAUUAUAAUUUUUAAAUGUUAAUUAAAUUUUAAUAUAUAUAUAUAUAUAUAUAUAAUUGUAAUUUAUAGAUUAUUUAUUAAAAAAAAUUCUAUUAAAUACUUAACAUAUUUUUUCGUUAUCAAUAUUAUCAUUUUAAGUACUUUUUUGUCUUUUUGUAACUGUUAUUUUUUUUUAUUGUCUUUAAUUUAUCAAUCAAUUUGUUUUUUCAUUUGCUGGUCACCUUUUUUCUUUUUAAAAGCUAAUUAAUCGAUAAAAAAAAAUUAGAAAGAAAAGAAUGAACUCGUUCACAAGUCGGAAACAAGCAAACGAAAAUAAUGAUUAUAUCAUUUUGUUAAUAACAAAACUAAAUGUUAAAGUAUUUAAAUAAAAAUAAAAAAUAGUUGUAUUUAUAAAAUAAUUAAAGCUUAGUUAAAUUAUUGUAGUUUAUUCAAAAUAUUUACUCAAUAAAUAAAAGGAAUUUCUACUAAAUUUUUAGAAAGAUUCAUUAAUGUAUAUAAGUUUAACUCAAUUUUAUAUGAUAUUACGUUUAUUUAUAUAUUAUAAUUUUACUGUUCAAAUAAUUUUAUUUUGUUUUAUGGCAAGUACUUCGAUUCAAUUUUCACUCCAAGAAUUAUCAUAACAUGUGUGGAAGAAAAAUAUUUAUGGUGAUGUGAUAAAGAAAAACAAGUAAUUUAAAUAAUCUGGUUAUAAAGAAUUUUUUUUUUUAUAUACUUAAAAGGAUAUGAAUUUAAGUCCAACCUUCGUUAAUAGACUACAACCACUUGUAUAUGUCCAGUAUAAAUGUCCUAUAUGUUUUGGUAACAAUUUUUUUUAAUAACUUAUUAAUAUGUAUAGUAUAUAUUUUCUGUGUUAACAAUUUUUUUGACAAUAAUAUCUCUUAUUAAUAUUUUAUUGGUAAUAUUAGUGUAUAUAUUUGAAACAGCAAAAGCUAUUACAUAAACUAAAUUAUUGUAAAAAAGAUGUCAAAAGUUAUUUAAAAAACAUUUUCCCUCCAAGAAAUACACUAAUCUUAAUUAUAAUUUCUUAAUCUUGCUUCAGAGUUUUUCUUUGGAUGAAUUUAUGAAGGAUAGUUGAAUGUUACCAGAAUGUUAAGCUUUCCGUGGAAGAUUGAUGAAACAGUUUCCAUGAGCUUGAGGCGUUGGUCGCGAUGUUUGACGUCACAGACUGAACCGGUGACGUUGAAUCCCUUCUUUUUCCACUCUUCCAAACACUUAUCAAUAUCAUCUUGCUUUCGUGAACAAACAUGAAUGGCUGCUCCAAAUUCUGCCAAUUCCUCGACGAUGGCGUGCCUAAGACAUUGGAAAGGAAGAAGAAAGAUGAGAAUAAAAGGAAAGAUAUGAGAAGAGAGAAGAUGAAAGGAUUUAGAUGACGAACCCAAUGCCUCGAGUGGCUCCUGUCACAAGAGCCGUCAUGCCAUGGAGCGACCACCUAUUGUCCUUUAUUCCGCUCAGCUUUGCUUCGCCCAUUUCUGCUUCUAAUCAAUGACCUCCAGAAAAUAAGGAAACACAGUUUUCACUUAAACAAGCUACAUACAUAUAUAUAUAUAUAUAUAUAUAUAUAUAUAUAUAUAUAUAUAUAUAUAUAUAUAUAUAUAUAUAUAUAUAUAUAUAUAUAUAUCGAAGUUUUGAAAUCCAUUGCUGAUAAUUAUUAACAAUAAUGACAAAAAAAUCCGCUAGUACGGGUAUUUGCAGGUAAAAUCCACUGCUAAUAAUUAUUACUCGCGGAUAUUUAUUAUCCGUGGGUAGCGGGUAUUUUAAUACCCACUUCUAAACAGGUCAAGUACGGAUAGUAUACUAUUCGACCUGCAGUUACACGUUAUCUGCAAAAUAUAAUAAAAAAUUAAUUUAUAUAAUUUUUUAAUUAAAUUUAAUUAAAAAUAAAAUAAAAUUAUAUUUUAUUAGGUUAAAUUUAAUUAAAAUUAAAAUUUACUUUAAUUUAUAUUAUAUAUAUAUAUAUAUAUAUAUAUAUAUAUAUAUAUGUAAUUUUAUUUAAACUUUAUUUUAAAGUGUAUAAAAUAUUUUUUUUAUUUUUUUUGGGUAUCCGCGGGUUUUAAAAUACCCGCAGGUAUUUUCUAAACGGGUACCCAAUGGGUAACGGGUCGGGUAGGGAUACAUUUUUAUCCGGCGGGUCGGGUUGUGGGUAGACACUAUCCGUACCCGACCCGACCCGUUGUCAUCCCUAAAGGGGGUGUUUCACGUGUUACAAGUUUGGAUCGAUUUGUAGUGGUGGCAACUCAGCUCGCCCUUUGACUCCACGCAUUAUAAAUUUGGAUCGAUUUGUAUUAGUGGCAAGCUCGACUCAUGUUAAAAUAAUUGUAGUUAAUAUUUUUCAAUAAAGAGGAAUUGAGUUGGUUGUUUAAUAAGCUGAAAUUUUUUAUAUUUAAAAUUGGUUUGCAAACAUCUUUAAUCAAUUAAUAUGUAAUCAGUUUUUGAAACUUCUAUAAUUAUCAAAAUAUUAAAAAAUGAUAAAAGAAAAAACAAAAAAUAUCAAGUUUUAUACUAGUUCAACUAUUUAAAUUUAAAAUGAUGAUAAAAGAAAAAACAAAAAAUAUCAUAUUUUAUACUAGUUCAAUUAUUUAAAUUCAAGAUUUUCAACCAGUAUAAUGCUUCACAUAAUUAUCUUAACCUAUCAUUUACAUAGUGAAAGAAAAAUAGAAGAACAACAAAUAAAAGAUAUAAAAUGAAUAUACUUGUAUGAUAUGCAAAUUUUACAUCUCAAUCCUAGAUCAAGCAAGUAAACCUUACAACGAAUUCAAUCUUCUUUGAAUCUUGAUAGAAACUAGAAAACUUGAUUUUUAAAGACAAAUUUGUUUAGUGAUCAUAUUAAUCGAUUAUGAAAAUAACAUGUAAUCAAGUAGUGUCUUUCAACUUUGAAAACCUGUAAAUAUUGUCUUUUUUAAUCUAUUAUAUUAGUAAGAUGAUUGAUUAAUACAAAUCAAUGAUAAGUAUAUAAUUUGAAAUAAUGAAUCACUUUUUCGCCAAAACUAAUCUUUAUUGAUUAUAUUGUAAUUCAUUUGAUUUUAAGAACAUUCUAGCUUAGCUUACAAUAUUUCUAGACUCAACAAUCAACUAAUAUAUUCUACCAACUAUUCUAUCAACUAAACAUAACUUGACACUACCUAUCACAGGUUUGUACCAAUCUUUGCUUACUGUAUCUUUGUUGACAUAUUAACAACCCCAUCAAUUUUCUAGUAGUGGGCUUGUCCGUUUUGUCACCCUUACUCGUAUUUACUUACUUCUUCUCUUUAUGAAAAAAUAAAUACAUACUUUGUUUGGUUUCUUUUAAGUGUAUUUACUCACUAAAGUGGAAAUAAAGGUAUAAAAAGUAUUAACUUGUUAUAUCAGUUCUAGAACAAAUAUAGAAGCAGGGGGUAUAAAAAGUAUUAACUUGUUAUAUUGGUUCCAGAACCGGUAUAGAAAGUGUCAUUCUUUACAUCGAUUAAAGAUAUAACCAAUAUUAGGAUAAUUCAGUGCUCUAGUGUAAUGUUCUUUAGUAUGUGCAGGAUAAAAUUUGUACUAGGAGCACAAGAUCAUCAGGAGGCAGAUAAGGAAGGAGAAUUGGUUCACCGACACCCUGAUGUGAAAAGUGGCAAACCCAAACCUGGCACACCAAUGAAAUUUCAGAAUAGGUUAUGGGUUGUCAAGAA
rnacentral:lncRNA from 1 species